rnacentral:rRNA from 1 species
UACGUAGGGUGCAAGCGUUGUCCGGAAUUAUUGGGCGUAAAGAGCUCGUAGGCGGUUUGUCGCGUCUGCUGUGAAAACUCGGGGCUUAACCCCGGGCCUGCAGUGGGUACGGGCAGACUAGAGUGCGGUAGGGGAGACUGGAAUUCCUGGUGUAGCGGUGAAAUGCGUAGAUAUCUGGAGGAACACCGGUGGCGAAGGCGGCGUUCUGGACUGCAACUGGCACUGAGUGAACGAAAGCCAGGGGAGCAAACGGG